rnacentral:rRNA from 1 species
AUAAUGGGUCAGCGACUUAUAUUCUGUAGCAAGGUUAACCGAAUAGGGGAGCCGAAGGGAAACCGAGUCUUAACUGGGCGUUAAGUUGCAGGGUAUAGACCCGAAACCCGGUGAUCUAGCCAUGGGCAGGUUGAAGGUUGGGUAACACUAACUGGAGGACCGAACCGACUAAUGUUGAAAAAUUAGCGGAUGACUUGUGGCUGGGGGUGAAAGGCCAAUCAAACCGGGAGAUAGCUGGUUCUCCCCGAAAGCUAUUUAGGUAGCGCCUCGUGAAUUCAUCUCCGGGGGUAGAGCACUGUUUCGGCAAGGGGGUCAUCCCGACUUACCAACCCGAUGCAAACUGCGAAUACCGGAGAAUGUUAUCACGGGAGACACACGGCGGGUGCUAACGUCCGUCGUGAAGAGGGAAACAACCCAGACCGCCAGCUAAGGUCCCAAAGUCAUGGUUAAGUGGGAAACGAUGUGGGAAGGCCCAGACAGCCAGGAUGUUGGCUUAGAAGCAGCCAUCAUUUAAAGAAAGCGUAAUAGCUCACUGGUCGAGUCGGCCUGCGCGGAAGAUGUAACGGGGCUAAACCAUGCACCGAAGCUGCGGCAGCGACGCUGAUGCGUUGUUGGGUAGGGGAGCGUUCUGUAAGCCUGUGAAGGUGUGCUGUGAGGCAUGCUGGAGGUAUCAGAAGUGC